rnacentral:rRNA from 1 species
AGUGGACGCUGGCGGUAGGCCUAACACAUGCAAGUCGAACGGCAGCACAGUAAGAGCUUGCUCUUACGGGUGGCGAGUGGCGGACGGGUGAGGAAUACAUCGGAAUCUACUUUUUCGUGGGGGAUAACGUAGGGAAACUUACGCUAAUACCGCAUACGACCUACGGGUGAAAGCAGGGGUUCUUCGGACCUUGCGCGAUACAAUGAGCCGAUGUCGGAUUAGCUAGUUGGCGGGGUAAAGGCCCACCAAGGCGACGAUACGUAGCUGGCCUGACAGGAUGAUCAGCCACACUGGAACUGAGACACGGUCCAGACUCCUACGGGAGGCAGCAGUGGGGAAUAUUGCACAAUGGGCGAAAGCCUGAUCCAGCAAUACCGCGUGAGUGAUGAAGGCCUUCGGGUUGUAAAGCCCUUUUGUUGGGAAAGAAAAGCAGCAGGUUAAUACCCCGCUAUUCUGACGGUACCCAAAGAAUAAGCACCGGCUAACUUCGUG